rfam:Dichanthelium oligosanthes cultivar Kellogg 1175 unplaced genomic scaffold Do_version_2_scaffold1349, whole genome shotgun sequence.
GGGCCAUAUGAUGAAAAAUCACGUGCAAUUCUCACGACGGUCGUCUGAGACACUUUGUGUGUAAUGUUGCAGUCAUAUUUCUCUGAUGCCC